rnacentral:rRNA from 1 species
GGGGAAUAUUGCACAAUGGGCGCAAGCCUGAUGCAGCAAUGCCGCGUGAGGGAUGAAGGCCUUCGGGUCGUAAACCUCUGUCCUUGGGGAAGAAACAAAUGACGGUACCCAUGGAGGAAGCCCCGGCUAACUACGUGCCAGCAGCCGCGGUAAUACGUAGGGGGCGGGCGUUAUCCGGAAUUAUUGGGCGUAAAGAGUGCGUAGGUGGCUACCUAAGCGCAGGGUCUAAGACAAAGGCUUAACCAUUGUCCGCCCUGCGAACUGGGCUGCUUGAGUGCAGGAGAGGAAAGCGGAAUUCCUAGUGUAGCGGUGAAAUGCGUAGAUAUUAGGAGGAACACCAGUGGCGAAGGCGGCUUUCUGGACUGUUACUGACACUGAGGCACGAAAGCGUGGGGAGCAAAC